GGAAAACGGUAUCGGUCUGGUCCUCGUGUGCAUUUCUGCCUCUGAUGUGUGCUCCCGUCUCUGAGGCCGCGGACGUUUAACCCCAAAGCGUGCGUGGCGAUGUGGAGAACCGCGUGGGGGCCCGCGUCUGGCGUCCGGCGGAGGCGGGUGUCAUCAGCUCUCGGGUGAGAUCAAGUCCAAGGCCCAGACGAACGAACCCACCCGGGGAGGCGGUGCAGGUAAGACAGAGAGAUGCCCUGGCUGGAGGGUGAUGGAGCCUCCACAGGCGGCCAGGCAGGAGGCGGGGGUGGGGGGGGGGGGGGGGGGGGGAGCGUGAGGGUUCAGUGGGACAGGGUGCGUUGACAGAUGGGAACACAGGUAACAUGGUACCCGGGAGGCCUGGGGUGCUGGGGGGGUGGGGGCUCAGCCUGCACCACUCUUCCCCACCCCCCCCCCGCGACCACCCUCAAGAUCCUCCUGGUUCUGGAAGCCAGCGGGCUAGACCCCCACUCCCGAGGCACCGUGGAGUCUCUGCUCUCCGCACGUCUGUUCCCUCCCCUUCCGGCACCCUUCCUGCACCCUGCCCAGGCCAGUGGGCACCUCAGACCUCUCUGCCUACGGCCGGUGCCCUCACCCGAACCCCUAACCCCGUCCCUGGGGGUGGAGGGACGUCCCCUCUAGCACCUGUUAUUCUGAAAGGUCCGGUCAACGCGUUCCCGGCCUGCAGCAUGGCCUGGGGCAGGGCAAGUCCCUCCGGGCCUGGGCCCUGUGCAUCUCACUGUGCCUCGGGGCGGACAGGGGAGCUCAGGUGCCCCGCUGGCCCCAGCAGGCCCAGGGCAGCUGGGCCUCCUUGUGGAGAAGAGAAGCUGGCAGUGGGCCAGGCUGCCCACGGCUCUGUGUCCGGCAGUGGCGAGGGAGUGGCAGCUCGUGUUGGCAGCGCCUCAGGAACUGUGGCCAGCAGGCUCUGCCCUGCUCACCCCUCUUUCUGCUGCCUGGAUCUGCCUGAGCCUGUGGCCAAGCCGAGCCCCUGUGGGCUGACUCUCACUGCCCCCGCGGGAAAAGCCCCUGAUUCUCCGUUCGAAGAUUUGUUUUCUAGUGGGUGCCUGGGCGGCCCAGUCAGUUAAGUGUCCG
rnacentral:lncRNA from 1 species